UCUGGCUCGGCUGGACCCUCCUUAGAGUUUGAUCUGGGUUCAGGGUGGAGCGGUGACUAACCGUGGGUAAUCUGCCUGUAAGACGGGGAUAACUCCGGGAAACCGGGGCUAAUACCGGAUAAUAAGAAGAAACGCAUGUUUCUUUUUUGAAAGUCGGUUUCGGCUGACACUUACAGAUGAGCCCGCGGCGCAUUAGCUAGUUGGUGAGGUAACGGCUCACCAAGGCGACGAUGCGUAGCCGACCUGAGAGGGUGAUCGGCCACACUGGGACUGAGACACGGCCCAGACUCCUACGGGAGGCAGCAGUAGGGAAUCUUCGGCAAUGGGCGAAAGCCUGACCGAGCAACGCCGCGUGAGCGAUGAAGGCCUUCGGGUCGUAAAGCUCUGUUGUUAGAGAAGAACAAGUACGAGAGUAACUGCUCGUACCUUGACGGUACCUAACCAGAAAGCCACGGCUAACUACGUGCCAGCAGCCGCGGUAAUACGUAGGUGGCAAGCGUUAUCCGGAAUUAUUGGGCGUAAAGCGCGCGCAGGCGGUCUCUUAAGUCUGAUGUGAAAGCCCACGGCUCAACCGUGGAGGGUCAUUGGAAACUGGGAGACUUGAGUGCAGGAGAGAAAAGUGGAAUUCCACGUGUAGCGGUGAAAUGCGUAGAGAUGUGGAGGAACACCAGUGGCGAAGGCGGCUUUUUGGCCUGUAACUGACGCUGAGGCGCGAAAGCGUGGGGAGCAAACAGGAUUAGAUACCCUGGUAGUCCACGCCGUAAACGAUGAGUGCUAGGUGUUGGGGGGUUCCACCCUCAGUGCUGAAGUUAACACAUUAAGCACUCCGCCUGGGGAGUACGACCGCAAGGUUGAAACUCAAAGGAAUUGACGGGGGCCCGCACAAGCAGUGGAGCAUGUGGUUUAAUUCGAAGCAACGCGAAAACCUUACCAGGUCUUGACAUCCUCUGAUCACUCUAGAGAUAGAGCUUUCCCCUUCGGGGACAGAGUGACAGUGGUGCAUGG
rnacentral:rRNA from 2 species